UUCUGAGGGUUUGUGGAAAGGUUUUUCCUUACUCUUCUGGGAGAGCUUCUUUAAAUGAUCAUUUUGUUCACUGUUUUGUUUCGUAUGAGGAAGCCUCUUGGAACCAUGAGGAAGAGCCAGGCUGAGACUGAGUCUGACACUUCAGAAGCCACCACGCAAUGAGAGAAGGAAGCCAGGUUCUUGAUCUUGUGGCUGAAUCAAACCAAGCCUGAAGCCUACAUUUCCUCUGAACUUCAAAAUAAGGAUCCCGGGAACCUCCUUUCCUCAGUGUAUGCAUCUAGUUUCAGGUCCUUCCAUAUACUGAGAUUGGCAGUAGUCCUUCAGCAAGACUGGGUGAUGCUUUUUAAGCAUUUACCUUGAGUCACAAGGUCCUGAAUUCAGUAGAUUACAAGCCAGAUGAUAUCAGGAAACCGUCAUGAUUUUCCAA